CAACGCGUAAAACCGAACACCUGCGCCAAGGAACCCGAACGGUUCGCUGCAGUUACUAGAGGCGAACGCAGAGGCAGAGAGCGGAUGUACAGAGUUAGCUGGAUCUCCCCCGCGGGAAACAAGUUCGUCGCCCCCGCGUCAGCCUGGACUGAAGGCUCGCAGAGGCUCAGUUCUCUCGAAGAGAAGUCGUUCGGCCCGGUCCAACCGCGCCGGCGAUCGCCUCGAAGGACAUACAAACGAGCGGCUCCUCGAUUGGACAACGAGGACUUCUACAGAUAACGACGAUCACCUUAUGUGCGAACGGCCAUAGUGACUCGAGAGGAAAAAUCCACAGAUGGUUCUGGGAAGCUUUUGCCGUUUUAACGUUAAUGCUGUCCAAUCAAUUCCAGCAUUUUGUCGCCACCACGGCAUGUUUUGAACUAUCAACGGGCGUUACACAGGGGAUGAAUCCCACUCCUCCGCCGGCCUUGAUUCCGAAAGGCCGAUUCCGAGUGUUGGUGCACACACGGCGGGCUGCCGACCCUAGGCGUGCUAAGUUCAAACUCUAAAGAAGGAAACCACCCGCUGUACACACGCAUUCUCGUUUACAGACCGGGAGACAUGUGCACAAGCUCAUACGUAUUUCAUGUGGGGCCGCUGGGUAGUGACAAUUACUCACAACUCCUUAAACAACUCCCAGGGAGAGCUCUGCCAGGUGACUUGCAAUCGCCUUGCCGAUACGCG
rnacentral:lncRNA from 1 species